UAAAAGCCAUGCAGCUUUGGGUCCGUUGUUUGGAGAAUCGAGUUUCUGCUGUUAGAAGAGGUUUAAUGCAGUAGAGCUGCUUGUUUAGUUUUUCAGCCGUGAAGCUUUUGUUCAGAAGGGAAAUGAACUGAGUGUGUAGUUUAAAAGAUAAAUGUUAUUUAUAUAAGUGAAGCUCUUUAGUUUAGAGACUCUGGCGUGUGGAAGCACUGCAGCUUUACUAGGCCAUGAAAUGCAUAGCUUCAAGACUCGACCUGAUGAUGAUGAUGAUGAUGAUGAAAGAAGUGAUCGUGUCACUGAUCAGAAGACUGACCAUCCAGACUCUCUCGAGUGUCUCGUUCAGUCCCUCGAUUGCCUGAGAGGAGAAACCUCUGAGUCUCUCGGUGUUGGUCCUCAGGAUCUGGUCGCACUUCCUUGAUGGGGGAACUUUGGUGAAAGGCUCAGACAAUUCUCCUGGUCCUGCAUUGCUGCUUGGAAAUUUCUGUGAUGUGCCGGAGACAAGUCUUGAUUUCUUCACCAUUCUGGUCCACACAUUGAACCAGCUGUAUUCUGUCCACCUGCUUGAUUGUCCAGGUGUUGUAAUGCAGCAGUUCCUGACUGGGGACUGGACAAACUGCACAAGCAAUUUUUCAACUCGGCUAUUGCUGCUCCAUUACAACUUUAUUUAUUUGUAUGUACAUAAUAUAGAAAUAAAAAUGUUCUUGGAUUUGA